UAAGUGAUCAAUUUGGAAUAAAAUCAAAAUGAAUAAAUCAUUUCAAUUUAUAAUGUAUUUUUUUUAUUUUUAAUUCUCAAUAUAUAAUAAGGGUAGUUUAAUAAAAGUAUCAUUUUUUCUUUAAUUUUUUUCUCUUCAUAUUCUUCUCGCAGGUAUGAGUUAGUAUGUUACAAUGCAAUGCCUAGACAGAGAGAGUAGUUAAU
rnacentral:lncRNA from 1 species